UACGAAGGGGGCAAGCGUUGUUCGGAAUUACUGGGCGUAAAGGGCGCGUAGGCGGCUUACCAAGUCAGGCGUGAAAUUCCCGGGCUCAACCUGGGGGCUGCGCUUGAUACUGGUGAGCUUGAAUGCGGGAGAGGAUAGUGGAAUUCCCAGUGUAGAGGUGAAAUUCGUAGAUAUUGGGAAGAACACCGGUGGCGAAGGCGGCUACCUGGACAAUUGCUGACGCUCAGGCACGAAAGCGUGGGGAGCAAAAGGG
rnacentral:rRNA from 1 species